rnacentral:tmRNA from 1 species
GGGGCCGUUUUGGAUUUGACAGGGUGGCGCUGAGUAUGUUAGCAUGCAGUGCGUUGUACGGAGAGCACUUAAAAGAGAACGUUCACACUAUAUCUGGCGAAAAUACUUACGCCUUAGCUGCCUAGUUUAGAACUUCGUAAGCUUUUGUCUCGCUAACUGCUGCAUUGUUAGGUUAGUAAUAGAGGCAUCAUAAUAACAGCGCUAGCUUUGAUGAGGGUACGACAUCAUCGCGAAACAAAGUAUCUAAGGAGAAUGGCAAGGUCGGUUACCAGCCCGCCUCAUCCCGACAAUUAAUUGGAAAAUAAGCAUGUAGAAGGCAUAAUUUAUCACACAACUGGACAAGGGUUCGAACCCCUUCGGCUCCACAA